GUUGGUUUCACUUAUAAGCAAUUGCCAGGACUCUGGCAGCAAGUCGUUUUGGGGCCCUCUUGACAAGAUUCACACGCGAUCCACAGAAGAACCUGAGACAAGUUUUGGCCAGUGGAUCAAGAAACUACAUGGGCUCAACCUUCAACUAAUGGUGCUGAGCAGAACCCAUGAGAGUGCACAUGGACAAGGUCAAUGGACAGCAGUAAAGAGACUAUCUAGCUCAUUCAACUAAAACAUGUCACAAUUUAAAAAAUUCCUCAUUUAGAAUCCUUAAGCCAUUCUGGGUGCCUCAGUGGAGGAGAGGCUACAUUUCUUCAUUCCUGGUAACAUAAUACUGCCCAGCCUUUAUUCACAGGAAGAAGGGUGUGUGUGUGUGUGUUCAGGCACAUGUCUUUUGUAGCCAGCUUAGUUACAAAAUAGAGAGUGAAGAAUAAACAGGUUUCUUGGCAAGAUGGCAAGAGAAAUGCAGGACUGCCAACCACACACUAAGCUGAGCCUUUUCCUUUGGUAGCCAUAAAUGACGCUAUUCCUCGGGCUUAUAUGAUUGAGGCUAAGGGGACUGAGGGCUAAAGGAACACCAGCUCAGAAUGACAACCUGUCUUAACACUCCUCUUACGGGAUCAUAUUAUAUUGAUAUCAGUGGUUCUCGACCUUGACUACACAUAUGAACCAUUUGGGGAGCUUUUAAAAAAUGCUGAUGCCCAGGUUCCACCCCAAACCAAUGAAAUCAUAAUCUCUGGUGGUGAAGUCUAGAUUUCUUUUUUUCUUUCUGGAAAGCAGGAUUGAGAAAUUUUAGGUUUUAUCAAGUAAAGCACAUUUCAGAGGCAUGUUAGGAUUCUUAGAUUUUUGGUAAAGGCUAGUACUACUAAUAUCUGGAUUUAUAGUCUUAUUUUUUAGCAAAUUAAUUCCAAAGAUCAAAAAUAUGACAUUAAUAAUACAAUCCAAAUAAUACAAUCCAUAACUGCUAAAGUAAAGAGCAGGGGCAAAUGACCAGCCUCUCAGUUGUCAUUUACUCGCUGACCAAUCACUGUGAGACAGCUUAGAUGAGUAGAAAACAUAAAGGCUGAGAACCAGAAAGAACUACAUUUGAAUUCUAGGCUUAUAAUCAUAUCUCUAAAAAUGGAGAUAAUAAUAUCCUAACUUUCAAUAAUAGAUAGCAUUUGUAAAGCACUUAGAGCUGGCACGUUGCAGAUAUGUAUGUAUAUUUCUCGCCUUUUUUCUUGAAAACAUCUUACUGCUAAUGUUGGUCAAUAGAUACAUUUAGUACUGAUCUUCUUCCUAAUAAGAAUAACCAUUUAUUGAGCAUUUACUAUGUAUCAAGUAACACGUUAAGCCCUUUACAUGUUGUCUUUUUUUAAUCUUCACCAUACCCCUAGGAUAUGGGUAUGGGUAUCUAUCAUAAUUUCUCCCACUUUACAGAUAAAGAACCUAAAGCCUACUGGGAUUAUAACUCGCCAAGGUCACAAUAAGUUAAUGAGCUGGGACUCAAAUCUAGGUUUGAUUCAAAAGGCUUCAGGUGCUUGACCACUGUGCUAUACUUGCCAAGGAAGAGCUAAUCCAGUCUAGUCAUGAACACUGCAAAACAGACCAAAAUUAUAAAACUGUUUUUAAAAGCUAUUAUAAACAUAUACAGAAUACCACAGAAAGAAAGAAGAGGAACUCCCAACCUAGACUUGGGUAGAAAUGGGAUCAGAAAAGUUAUUAGAAAGUCCUGAGGGACAAACAGAAAUUGUUUGCAUAAACAGCAAAAUAUGCUGAGAUUAUAACAAAUGCUUUCAAACUUUUCUAAGUCCAAUAGUAAGAAAAAUAUUUUACCUUGUGACCAAGGCAACACAACACUCACAUAUACAUGUGCAUAAUAUAUAAAAACAGGGCUUCCUAGGUGGCGCAGUGGUUAAGAAUCCGCCUGCCAAUGCAGGGGACAUGAGUACGAUCCCUGCUCCAGGAAGAUCCCACAUGCCGCGGAGCAGCUAAGCCCGUGCACCACAACUAUUGAGCCUGCGCUUUAGAGCCCAUGAGCCACAACUAUUGAGCCCAUGUGCUGCAACUACUGAAGCCCACACGCCUAGAGCCCGUGCUCUGCAACAAGAGAAGCCAUGGCAAUGAGGAGCCUGCGCACCACAACGAAGAGUAGCCUCCACUCACUGCAACUAAAAAGAAAGCCUGCGCACAGCAAAAAAAAAAAAAAAAAAAAAAGACCCAACACAGCCAAUAAAAUAAAUAAAUACAUAAAAACACGUGUUUUGCAAAUAAUUCUUAAAUUUGUAUUUACGUAUGAAUUGUAAAACAUGUUCAGUGCAGUCUGAUAGUUUCUAUUUUUUAAGUAAGUCAGAACCACUAAAUUGAUUUCACAACCCACUAAUGGGUAGCAAAACAGUUUGAAUGAGAACAUCUUGAUCAGCCACUAUGAAGAACAAUCUGGAGUUUCCUUAGAAAAUGAAAAUUAUAAUUUGAAAAGAUACAUGCACCCCAAUGUUCACAGCAGCACUAUUUACAAUAACCAAGACAUGGAAGCAACCUAAAUGUCCAUCGACAGGUGAAUGGAUAAAGCAGAUGUGGUACACAUAUACAAUGGAAUACUACUCAGCAAUAAAAAAGAAUGCAAUAAUGCCAUUUACAGCAACAUGGAUGGAUCUAGAGACUGUCAUACUAAGUGAAGUAAGCCAUACGGGAAAAGACAAAUAUCACUAUAUUGCUUAUGUGUGGCAUCUAAAAAGAUGACACAAAUGAACUUAUUUACAAAACAGAAACAGACUCUCAGACUUUGAAAACAAACUUAUGGUUACCAAAGGGGAAAGGUGGGGGGAGGGAUAAAUUAGGAGGUUGGGAUUAAUAUAUACACACUACUGUAUAUGAAAUAGAUAACCAACAAGGACCUACUAGCACAGGAAACUCUACUCAACCUAUAUAGGAAAAGAAUCUGAAAAAGAAUGCAUAUAUGUAUACAUAUAACUGAAUCACUUUGCUGUACACCUUAAACUAACACAACACUGUAAAUCAACUAUACCCCAAUAUAAAAUAAGAAAAAAUUUUUUAAAGGAAAUGGCUAAGUUUGCCUUUUGUGCCAACUCUGGUAAAAUGGCAGUAGCUACUACAGCUGUGAUAAGAAAGACUGUAAAUCUGAAUUCAAGAACAGUAUUAAACAAUGCUGGGAUUGAUUAGAGAUGUCAGUAAUGGACACAGAAGAGGGAAACAGAGGUACACAUGCCAUUUAUCUAUCAUUCCUGAUCAAGAUCAAGAUUCUAGAUGAAAACCAAAUGGGCUUUAUUUUUACACAGCUUAGCUUGCACGAAUCCACUUCAUGUUCCUUCUCAUCCUCUUGGUCUGCUCUCAACUCAGCCCGGUUAGCACAAACUUUCCCUGAACAUUUCUCAAGGAAGCAAGAUCUAACCUGGACAAAAAGAAGAGUUAGCAAAGCAGAGGGAGGAAGAAGAGAAGCAUAAGCAGAGAUCAUUCACUCUGGGUAAAGUCACGUCGGGAAAUGCCCCACGGGGAAGCCUAUGUGGUGAGGUACUGAAGCCUCCUGCCAAUAUCCAAGUGAAUGAGCAUGAAGAUCUUCUAGCCUGAAUCAAGUCUUCAGAGACUGCAGCCCCGUUCAAUACCUUGACUGCAAUCCAGUGAGAGAACCGAGCCAGAACCAUCCAGCUAAGCUGUUCCUGGAGUCUUGACCCUUAGAAACUAUGAAUUAAUAAAUGUUUGUUG